AAAUGAAAUAAGCAAAGUACAUUGACCAAAGAUGAAUGGAAUCAAAGUCAAUCAAUGGUAAACAGAAGCAAGAUGAAGCUUAGAAGUCAAGAAACAAAUAAAAUAUUUUUGGUAUUUUUGAGAAUUAAAAUAAUACUUGAAUUAAAAUAAACAAAUAAAUGAAGCUUAGAAGUCAAGAAACAAAUAAAAUAUUUUUGGUAUUUUUGAGAAUUAAAAUAAUACUUGAAUUAAAAUAAACAAAUAAAGGUCAAACUUCA
rnacentral:lncRNA from 1 species